UCCCAUUUGGUGCCCCCCACACCUCCACCUCCACCCUCACUUUACUCUGAUCUUUCUGAACUUCCUUGACCAGAUCUCUUUUCUCUUUCUCCUGCUUGUUCCAAGCUACCAUCUUUCCCUCUGUCUGCCACUCACUCAACAGAAGUCAGAAGAGAGACUAACUUCCAAGACUCUACCUCCUGCCUAUUCCCUGAUAUCCCUGGUGGCAACUUCUCAUCUGGAAGAUGAAGGAAAAGGGGACCCUGCAAGAACAUCUUAUAUGAUUAUUCUUUUUCAGGAACAACUGGUGCAGGGUGCAACAGUCAUCCAGCAUGUGGAUGACCUUCUCACUUGUUCAGACACAUAUCUACUUUUCAGGAAGAUAUCUAGAUUUACUCAAACAGCCACCAAGAGAUACAAAGCGUCUAAAGACAGACUUCAGCUAUGCCUGCCACAAGUUAAGUAUUUGGGGCAUAUUAUCUCAGUGAAAGGACUCAGUAUUAACCCUGAUAGAAUGAAAGGAAUUUAAUGUUUUCCAAUGCCUAUUAUUGAAAAACAACUUAGAGAAUUUUUGGAACUGGCUGGCUACUGCAGGAAUUGGAUUCUGCAUUUCUCUCUUAUGGCUCAACCUCUGUAUGCAUACCUAUAAAAAUGAACAAUCUGACUCCAUCAUGUGGACUCCAGAGAGACAAUCAACUGUACAACAAUUAAAGAAAACCCUUCUAAAGUUUCAUCAUAUUCAAAACCUGUCUGCCAGCUAGCUGGCCUCUUAUAAAGUUUCACUUUUUCAUCUCCAAA